rnacentral:rRNA from 1 species
GCAUAAUUAAACCUCCGAAUAGUCUAUGCCAAGACUACACAAGUCGAAGCUAAUCAGCAUCUACAAUUGAUCCAAUAACUUGAUCAACGGAACA